UCCAUGUGCUUACACAUGGGCUGCCGAAAAUACUGUAUAGCUAGGGAGUGGGAGAGGUAGACGGUACUCAGUAGGAAGGGGUAAAAUCCUUUGAUCUAUUGAUGACCACCAGUGGCGAAGGCGGUCUACCAGAACACGUCCGACGGUGAGGGAUGAAAGCUGGGGGAGCAAACCGGAUUAGAUACCCGGGUAGUCCCAGCUGUAAACUAUGCAAACUCAGUGAUGCAUUGGCUUGUGGCCAGUGCAGUGCCGCAGAGAAGUCGUUAAGUUUGCCGCCUGGGAAGUACGUACGCAAGUAUGAAACUUAAAGGAAUUGGCGGGGGAGCACCACAAGGGGUGAAGCCUGCGGUUCAAUUGGAGUCAACGCCAGAAAUCUUACCCGGAGAGACAGCAGAAUGAAGGUCAAGCUGAAGACUUUACCAGACAAGCUGAGAAGUGGUGCAUGGCCGUCGCCAGCUCGUGCCGUGAGGUGUCCUGUUAAGUCAGGUAACGAGCGAGAUCCCUGCCUCUAGUUGCCACCAUUGCUCUCAGGAGCAGUGGGGCGAAUUAGCGGGACUGCCGCAGUUAAUGCGGAGGAAGGAGGGGGCCACGGCAGGUCAGUAUGCCCCGAAAAU
rnacentral:rRNA from 1 species